GGGGAAUAUUGCACAAUGGGGGAAACCCUGAUGCAGCGACGCCGCGUGGAGGAAGAAGGUCUUCGGAUUGUAAACUCCUGUCCCAGGGGACGAUAAUGACGGUACCCUGGGAGGAAGCACCGGCUAACUACGUGCCAGCAGCCGCGGUAAAACGUAGGGUGCAAGCGUUGUCCGGAAUUACUGGGUGUAAAGGGAGCGCAGGCGGAUUGGCAAGUUGGGAGUGAAAUCUAUGGGCUCAACCCAUAAAUUGCUUUCAAAACUGUCAGUCUUGAGUGGUGUAGAGGUAGGCGGAAUUCCCGGUGUAGCGGUGGAAUGCGUAGAUAUCGGGAGGAACACCAGUGGCGAAGGCGGCCUACUGGGCACUAACUGACGCUGAGGCUCGAAAGCAUGGGUAGCAAACAGGAUUAGAUACCCUGGUAGUCCAUGCCGUAAACGAUGAUUACUAGGUGUGGGAGGAUUGACCCCUUCCGUGCCGCAGUUAACACAAUAAGUAAUCCACCUGGGGAGUACGACCGCAAGGUUGAAACUCAAAGGAAUUGACGGGGGCCCGCACAAGCAGUGGAGUAUGUGGUUUAAUUCGAAGCAACGCGAAGAACCUUACCAGGUCUUGACAUCGGAUGCAUACCUAAGAGAUUAGGGAAGUCCUUCGGGACAUCCAGACAGGUGGUGCAUGGUUGUCGUCAGCUCGUGUCGUGAGAUGUUGGGUUAAGUCCCGCAACGAGCGCAACCCUUAUCGUUAGUUACUACGCAAGAGGACUCUAGCGAGACUGCCGUUGACAAAACGGAGGAAGGUGGGGAUGACGUCAAAUCAUCAUGCCCUUUAUGACCUGGGCUACACACGUACUACAAUGGCUAUUAACAGAGAGAAGCGAUACCGCGAGGUGGAGCAAACCUCACAAAAAUAGUCUCAGUUCGGAUCGCAGGCUGCAACCCGCCUGCGUGAAGCCGGAAUUGCUAGUAAUCGCGGAUCAGCAUGCCGCGGUGAAUACGUUCCCG
rnacentral:rRNA from 1 species